CACGGAGGAUCCGAGCGUUAUCCGGAUUUAUUGGGUUUAAAGGGAGCGUAGGCGGGUUGUUAAGUCAGUUGUGAAAGUUUGCGGCUCAACCGUAAAAUUGCAGUUGAUACUGGCAUCCUUGAGUACAGUAGAGGUAGGCGGAAUUCGUGGUGUAGCGGUGAAAUGCUUAGAUAUCACGAAGAACUCCGAUUGCGAAGGCAGCCUGCUGGACUGUAACUGACGCUGAUGCUCGAAAGUGUGGGUAUCAAACAGG
rnacentral:rRNA from 1 species